AUUGAACGCUGGCGGCAUGCCUUACACAUGCAAGUCGAACGGCAGCGGGGACUUCGGUCCGCCGGCGAGUGGCGAACGGGUGAGUAAUGUAUCGGAACGUACCAUUGAGUGGGGGAUAACUAUCCGAAAGGAUAGCUAAUACCGCAUAUUCUCUCCGGAGAAAAGCAGGGGACCGCAAGGCCUUGCGCUCAUUGAGCGGCCGAUAUCAGAUUAGCUAGUUGGUGAGGUAAAGGCUCACCAAGGCGACGAUCUGUAGCGGGUCUGAGAGGAUGAUCCGCCACACUGGAACUGAGACACGGUCCAGCCUCCUACGGGAGGCAGCAGUGGGGAAUUUUGGACGAUGGGGGCAACCCUGAUCCAGCCAUGCCGCGUGAGUGAAGAAGGCCUUCGGGUUGUAAAGCUCUUUCGGCCGGGAAAAAAUCGCAUGGGUUAAUACCCUGUGUGGAUGAUGGUACCGGAAUAAGAAGCACCGGCUAACUACGUGCCAGCCGCCGCCGUAUCAC
rnacentral:rRNA from 1 species